GAUGAACGCUGGCGGCGUGCCUAAUACAUGCAAGUCGAGCGAACGGACGAGAAGCUUGCUUCUCUGAUGUUAGCGGCGGACGGGUGAGUAACACGUGGAUAACCUACCUAUAAGACUGGGAUAACUUCGGGAAACCGGAGCUAAUACCGGAUAAUAUUUUGAACCGCAUGGUUCAAAAGUGAAAGACGGUCUUGCUGUCACUUAUAGAUGGAUCCGCGCUGCAUUAGCUAGUUGGUAAGGUAACGGCUUACCAAGGCAACGAUGCAUAGCCGACCUGAGAGGGUGAUCGGCCACACUGGAACUGAGACACGGUCCAGACUCCUACGGGAGGCAGCAGUAGGGAAUCUUCCGCAAUGGGCGAAAGCCUGACGGAGCAACGCCGCGUGAGUGAUGAAGGUCUUCGGAUCGUGAAACUCUGUUAUUAGGGAAGAACAUAUGUGUAAGUAACUGUGCACAUCUUGACGGUACCUAAUCAGAAAGCCACGGCUAACUACGU
rnacentral:rRNA from 1 species